rnacentral:misc_RNA from 1 species
AAGUCGUAACAAGGUUUCCGUAGGUGAACCUGCGGAAGGAUCAUUACCUUUCAAUGCAGCAGAAUGGGGAUGGUUGAGUUUCUCGCCUCUCUGUUCUGCCUGUAUUCUACCCUUGUUUGUCAUAUACUAUUAUUUCCUCGGCAGGCUUGCUUGCCGAGUGAAACCAAUUAUAACCUAUUUAAUUUUCAAUCAGCGUCUGAACAAAAUUAAUAAUUACAACUUUCAACAACGGAUCUCUUGGUUCCG